CAGAAUGUAGUUUAAAAAAUAUUAAUUUUGGAGAUUAAAGUUAUUUGUAAAAAUUAUUCUGA
rnacentral:tRNA from 1 species